AAAAACAGUUUGCUUCAUUUUUUCACAAAAAAACAGAGGGCUCAGCCUCUCUCUCUCUCUCCCUCGCAGGCUCCAAGCCCGGCCGAUAGGGCCGACGCCGGCGCCACCGUGACCCCACCGUCAUCGGUGAUCGGGGCAACGCAAAGGUCGCGGUUUUGGUCUGUUUUUAAGGCGCUUGAAGGCCUAAACCUCUGGGCUUCAAGGCCGAAAGGAGAAGACCCCAUGUUUUCUCCCUUCACGUCCCAAUUUCGAUGACCGAAAUGGCCGGCUAAGGGCUUUUCAGGUGACCCUUAGGUAGUCUGACGCGCGUGAAGGGCCGACGACAGGCGAGCAGUGGCGGCGGUGGUGCUGACUCGCGUCGCCGAAGGCUAAAGACCUCGGUGCGGCGCACCUAGGGUUUUCCCUUAGCUGAAAGUUGGCAUAAUUUUUGGGCCAUUUGGGCUUAGGGUUAAAAUUUGGGCUGAGGGUUUAAUGUUUGGGCUGGUUUAGUAAUUGGGCUAGGAUAUUUUAUUUGCUUUUAUUAUGGCACUGGGCCCGGGCAUAAAUAGGUCUGUACAAAUAUAAUAUAAAAACAUACUUAUUAAUUAAGUAAAUAUAAUAUAAUAUAUAUUUUAAAUUAAAUAUAUCUUAGAUUUUUCAAUGUUAAA